rnacentral:rRNA from 1 species
CCUACGGGAGGCAGCAGUGGGGAAUCUUGCGCAAUGGGGGCAACCCUGACGCAGCCAUGCCGCGUGAAUGAUGAAGGCCUUAGGGUUGUAAAGUUCUUUUGCCCGUGACGAUGAUGACGGUAACGGGAGAAUAAGCUCCGGCUAACUUCGUGCCAGCAGCCGCGGUAAUACGAAGGGGGCUAGCGUUGUUCGGAAUUACUGGGCGUAAAGCGCGCGCAGGCGGUUCGAUAAGUUAGGGGUGAAAUCCCUGGGCUCAACCCAGGAAUGGCCUUUAAGACUGUCGAGCUAGAGGACGAGAGAGGUGAGUGGAAUUCCCAGUGUAGAGGUGAAAUUCGUAGAUAUUGGGAAGAACACCGGUGGCGAAGGCGGCUCACUGGCUCGUUUCUGACGCUGAGGCGCGAAAGCGUGGGGAGCAAACAGGAUUAGAUACCCUGGUAGUCCACGCCCUAAACGAUGAGUGCCAGGUGUCGGGAAGCUUAGCUUCUCGGCGCCGCAGCUAACGCCUUAAGCACUCCGCCUGGGGAGUACGGCCGCAGGUUAAACUCAAAGGAAUUGACGG